rnacentral:rRNA from 1 species
AUUGAACGCUGGCGGCAUGCCUAACACAUGCAAGUCGGACGAGUGGCGGACGGGUGAGUAAUGUCUGGGAAACUGCCUAGUAGUGGGGGAUAACUACUGGAAACGGUAGCUAAUACCGCCUACCAUUCGAUCUGCCCAUGUGGGAUUAGCUGGUUGGUGGGGUAAAGGCUCACCAAGGCGACGAUCACUAGCGGGUCUGAGAGGAUGACCCGCCACACUGGAACUGAGACACGGCCCAGACUCCUACGGGAGGCAGCAGUGGGGAAUGUUGGACAAUGGGCGCAAGCCUGAUCCAGCCAUGCCGCGUGUAUGAAGAAGGCCUUCGGGUUGUAAAGGACUUUCAGCGGGGAGGCGUUACCCGCAGAAGAAGCACCGGCUAACUCCGUGCCAGCAGCCGCGGUAAUUC